rnacentral:snoRNA from 1 species
ACUGCUUCAUUACUUCUGUUUGGUGCUCCUGUAAAUCUGUUCUGGUUUGCGGGGCUUUGAGUGAGUGAAGCAAGAAAGAGGAUAAGGAUCCCCUCGCUAUCCAGUGCAGAGCUUCUAUGCUGUACUUGGACGUUGGGGAACUACAUUU